rnacentral:tRNA from 1 species
AGAGGGGAGGCUCAGUGGUAGAGUAUGUUCUUAGCAUGCACAAGGUCCUGGGUUCAAUCCCCGGCAGCUCCA